GGGUUCUGACCAAUCAUGUUACAGUGUUUUCUCCUUUAGAGAGAGCUGGUGACAUGAGAGGCAGAAAAAGGA
ensembl:miRNA MIR4299 microRNA 4299